rnacentral:rRNA from 1 species
UGGGGGAAUAUUGCACAAUGGAGGAAACUCUGAUGCAGCAACGCCGCGUGAAGGAUGAAGGUCUUCGGAUUGUAAACUUUUGUACUUGGGGACGAUAAUGACGGUACCCAAGCAGCAAGCUCCGGCUAACUACGUGCCAGCAGCCGCGGUAAUACGUAGGGAGCAAGCGUUGUCCGGAUUUACUGGGUGUAAAGGGUGCGUAGGCGGCCAUACAAGUCAGUUGUGAAAACUAUGGGCUCAACCCAUAGCCUGCAAUUGAAACUGCGUGGCUUGAGUGAAGUAGAGGUAGGUGGAAUUCCCGGUGUAGCGGUGAAAUGCGUAGAGAUCGGGAGGAACACCAGUGGCGAAGGCGACCUACUGGGCUUUAA